rnacentral:rRNA from 1 species
UACGUAGGGUGCGAGCGUUAAUCGGAAUUACUGGGCGUGAAGCGUGCGCAGGCGGUUUGGUAAGACAGAUGUGAAAUCCCCGGGCUUAACCUGGGAAUUGCAUUUGUGACUGCCCGGCUAGAGUGUGUCAGAGGGGGGUAGAAUUCCACGUGUAGCAGUGAAAUGCGUAGAUAUGUGGAGGAAUACCGAUGGCGAAGGCAGCCCCCUGGGAUAACACUGACGCUCAUGCACGAAAGCGUGGGGAGCAAACAGG